UACGUAGGAGGCAAGCGUUAUCCGGAAUGACUGGGCGUAAAGGGUGCGUAGGUGGUUUGGCAAGUUAGUAGCGUAACUCCGGAGCUCAACUUCGGAACUACUACUAAAACUGUCGGACUUGAGUGCAGGAGGGGCAACUGGAAUUCCUAGUGUAGCGGUGGAAUGCGUAGAUAUUAGGAGGAACACCAGUGGCGAAGGCGAGUUGCUGGACUGUAACUGACACUGAGGCACGAAAGCGUGGGGAGCAAACAGG
rnacentral:rRNA from 1 species